GAUGAACGCUAGCUACAGGCUUAACACAUGCAAGUCGAGGGGCAGCAUGGUCUUAGCUCGCUAAGACCGAUGGCGACCGGCGCACGGGUGAGAACGCGUAUCCAACCUUCCGCAUACUCGGGAAUAGCCUUUCGAAAGAAAGAUUAAUGCCCGAUGGUUUCCCGAAUCCGCAUGAGCGCGGGAAUAAAGAUUCAUCGGUAUGCGAUGGGGAUGCGUCCCAUUAGCUUGUUGGCGGGGUAACGGCCCACCAAGGCGACGAUGGGUAGGGGUUCUGGGAGGAAGGUCCCCCACAUUGGAACUGAGACACGGUCCAAACUCCUACGGGAGGCAGCAGUGAGGAAUAUUGGUCAAUGGGCGAGAGCCUGAACCAGCCAAGUAGCGUGAGGGAUGACCGCCCUACGGGUCGUAAACCUCUUUUAUAAGGGAAUAAAGAUAAGUACGCGUACUUAGUUGCAUGUACCUUAUGAAUAAGCAUCGGCUAACUCCGUGCCAGCAGCCGCCGUAA
rnacentral:rRNA from 1 species